UUAACGAGCCAAACACGAGCCGAAUUUUUCGACUCAAUACUUUAACGAGCUAGCUUGUGUUUAGCUCGUUGACAGCCCAGUUGAAUUCAAAUGUAUCAAAUUAAACAAUAAAUUUAAAUUUGUAUAUAAAUAGAGCUACAGUACAACUAUAACUACAUACAAUCAAACAGCCCGAGAACAGACGGAACCAAACUUGUAAGUUAAGUUAACU
rnacentral:lncRNA from 1 species